UCGAUUGAUCGGAACUAGCGACAGAUGCACAUUCUAACAUAAAUUAUUACAUAUAUUAGAAUGAUGAUUAGAUCAUUCAAAAAAAACAUUAAUUAAAAGAAAAAAUUAAUUUUAAUUAUACUUACUGCAUCCUUUGGGGGUUGAAGAGAUCAAGAAAUUUUGCAUUUUUAUCAGUUUUGGCUGACAACCAUCUCAAGAUUCUUGGACAGAAAACUCCAUCCUGGUAGUUCAUUUGU
rnacentral:lncRNA from 1 species